ACGGAAGGCAGCAGUGGGGAAUAUUGGACAAUGGGGGAAACCCUGAUCCAGCGACGCCGCGUGAGUGAAGAAGUAUUUCGGUAUGUAAAGCUCUAUCAGCAGGGAAGAUAAUGACGGUACCUGACUAAGAAGCCCCGGCUAAAUACGUGCCAGCAGCCGCGGUAAUACGUAUGGUGCAAGCGUUAUCCGGAUUUACUGGGUGUAAAGGGAGCGUAGACGGCGAGGCAAGUCUGAAGUGAAAUGCGGGGGCUCAACCCCUGAACUGCUUUGGAAACUGUUUUGCUAGAGUGCAGGAGAGGUAAGUGGAAUUCCUAGUGUAGCGGUGAAAUGCGUAGAUAUUAGGAGGAACACCGGCGGCGAAGGCGGCUUACUGGACUGUAACUGACGUUGAGGCUCGAAAGCGUGGGGAGCAAACAGGAUUAGAUACCCUGGUA
rnacentral:rRNA from 1 species